GGUCCGAUGGUCUAGUGGUAUGAUUCUCGCUUAGGGUACACCCUUAGUACAUCACCAAGCCCAGCUUGGUCUGAUUUGCGAGAGGCCCCGGGUUCGAAUCCCGGUCGGACCC